AGAAAAACUGAUCCUGCUCUUGUUCAAGAUCAUUUCUUGAUUGCCACAGUUGACUAGGCUGGCUAGGCUGACUAUUAGGGUGUCUCCUUCCUUUCCCACUGUCCUAUAUAUGUCCCUCUGGAAGCUGAGUGCUCUUUGGAAAGGGAUUUGCUUCUGUGGUGGAGAAGUGUCUGCUUUAGUAGAGUGUACAGAUGGUUGUCCUUCCGUUAGAUCCUUCAUACCGGGUCUCAAGGUCCAAAUGCAACCAUGCAAAGCAUACCAUUCAUUGUGAGUGAUUCAAAUAAGAUAAAGCCGAGAUGCUGCCUAU
ensembl:misc_RNA Gm22484 predicted gene, 22484